CCAGGCGGCAGAUGGCGGGAGGGAAACACCCGGUUCCAUCCCGAACCCGGAACUUAACCCCCCCAGCGCCGAUGGUACUGGGGGGAUUCCCCGGGGGAGUAGGUCUCCGCCUGGU
rnacentral:rRNA from 1 species